rnacentral:rRNA from 1 species
UACGAGGGGGGCGAGCGUUGUUCGGAAUUAUUGGGCGUAAAGGGUGCGUAGGCGGUUCCGCAAGUCCUGUGUGAAAUCUUCGGGCUCAACUCGAAGUCUGCACGGGAAACUGCGGGGCUUGAGUGUGGGAGAGGUGAGUGGAAUUCCGCGUGUAGCAGUGAAAUGCGUAGAGAUGCGGAGGAACACCGAUGGCGAAGGCAGCCCCCUGGGCCAACACUGACGCUCAGGCACGAAAGCGUGGGGAGCAAACAGG